GACGAACGCUGGCGGCGUGCUUAACACAUGCAAGUCGAACGGUGAAGGGACCGGUUUUUGCUGGUUCUGGAUGAGUGGCGCACGGGUGAGUAACACGUGAGUAACCUGCCCCCUUCUUCUGGAUAACCGCAUGAAAGUGUGGCUAAUACGGGAUAUUCUGCGCCUGCUGCAUGGCGGGUGUGGGAAAGAUAUUGUUUCGGUGGGGGAUGGGCUCGCGGCCUAUCAGCUUGUUGGUGGGGUGAUGGCCUACCAAGGCGGUGACGGGUAGCCGGCCUGAGAGGGUGGACGGUCACACUGGGACUGAGACACGGCCCAGACUCCUACGGGAGGCAGCAGUGGGGAAUAUUGCACAAUGGGCGCAAGCCUGAUGCAGCGACGCCGCGUGAGGGAUGGAGGCCUUCGGGUUGUAAACCUCUUUCGCCAGUGAAGCAGGCCUGUCCCUUUUGUGGGUGGGUUGACGGUAGCUGGAUAAGAAGCGCCGGCUAACUACGUG
rnacentral:rRNA from 1 species